rnacentral:rRNA from 1 species
GCAAGCGUUAUUCGGAAUUAUUGGGCGUAAAGGGCGCGUAGGCGGCUUGACAAGUGGAAGGUGAAAUUCCUCGGCUUAACCGAGGAACUGCCUUCCAGACUGUCUGGCUUGAGACCGGGAGAGGUGAGUGGAAUUCCCAGUGUAGCGGUGAAAUGCGUAGAUAUUGGGAGGAACACCAGUGGCGAAGGCGGCUCACUGGACCGGUACUGACGCUGAGGCGCGAAAGCGUGGGGAGCAAACGGG